CAGCCGCCACGGUAAUACAGAGGGUGCGAGCGUUAAUCGGAUUUACUGGGCGUAAAGCGUGCGUAGGCGGCUUUUUAAGUCGGAUGUGAAAUCCCUGAGCUUAACUUAGGAAUUGCAUUCGAUACUGGGAAGCUAGAGUAUGGGAGAGGAUGGUAGAAUUCCAGGUGUAGCGGUGAAAUGCGUAGAGAUCUGGAGGAAUACCGAUGGCGAAGGCAGCCAUCUGGCCUAAUACUGACGCUGAGGUACGAAAGCAUGGGGAGCAAACAGGAUUAGAUACCCGCGUAGUCCUGUCUCUUAUACA
rnacentral:rRNA from 1 species